CCUACGGGAGGCAGCAGUGAGGAAUAUUGGACAAUGGACGGAAGUCUGAACCAGCCAUGCCGCGUGCAGGAAGAAGGCUCUAUGAGUUGUAAACUGCUUUUGUACAAGGGUAAACCUGAAUACGUGUAUUCAGCUGAAAGUACUGUACGAAUAAGGAACAGCUAACUCCGUGCCAGCAGCCGCGGGAAUACGGAGGAUCCAAGCGUUAGCCGGAUUGAUUGGGUUUAAAGGGUGCGUAGGCGGAUUGAUAAGUUAAAGGGGAAAUGUCCGAGCUUAACUCGGGAACUGCCUCUAAUACUGUUGAUCUAGAGAGUAGAUGCGGUAGGCGGAAUGUAUGGGGUAGCGGUGAAAUGCUUAGAGAUCAGACAGAACACCGAUUGCGAAGGCAGCUUACCAAUCUAUAUCUGACGUUGAGGCACGAAAGCGUGGGGAGCAAACAGGAUUAGAUACCCUGGUAGUC
rnacentral:rRNA from 1 species